rnacentral:rRNA from 1 species
ACAUGCAGUCGAGCGGAACGAGUUAUCUGAACCUUCGGGGAACGAUAACGGCGKCGAGCGGCGGACGGGUGAGUAAUGCCUAGGAAAUUGCCCUGAUGUGGGGGAUAACCAUUGGAAACGAUGGCUAAUACCGCAUGAUGCCUACGGGCCAAAGAGGGGGACCUUCGGGCCUCUCGCGUCAGGAUAUGCCUAGGUGGGAUUAGCUAGUUGGUGAGGUAAGGGCUCACCAAGGCGACGAUCCCUAGCUGGUCUGAGAGGAUGAUCAGCCACACUGGAACUGAGACACGGUCCAGACUCCUACGGGAGGCAGCAGUGGGGAAUAUUGCACAWUGGGCGCAAGCCUGAUGCRGCCAUGCCGCGUGUAUGA